UUCUUCUCUAUAUUCAGAUGGUGAGAUUUUUCUUAUUUUUUUUCUUGGUGCGAUUUUUCUUCUUCAAUUAUUUGCAAAGCUUUCUUGGUGCAAUUUGUCUUCUUCAACUAUUUGGAAAGCUUUCUUCUUCAAUUUCUCAAUAUCUAUCUGGUGCAAUUUUUAUGUAUUCCACUUUUUAGUUUGUGGGUCAAAUUGUUGUCCAAGAAAACAUUAUUAGAUAGUUCAAAGUGGGAACAAAAAAAAUUGUAUUUUGAUGAAGAAUACAUGUAUUCGAAUUGUAUCUUCUAUGUUUCAAUUUAUCUGCAAAGAACAAGGAGGCUGGCCUGAAAAUCCAACUUUGCAACUUUUUCGUGGUGAUUUGAUUAUCUAUAAGAAGUAUUUCAGUUGAAGUGUUGUACAAGAAUAUUAUUAUAUCUAUAAGAUUCGAGUUGAUUGCAAACAUAUACAUAUGUCAAAUACAUAUUUCAAUACAUUAGAUAUGUUUUAUCAUUUUAUAUUUGUUUAUAUUACCCAUCUACUUUAUGUAUCUCUCGUUUAAUAACUUCGGCGUAACAUAUAUAAGAG
rnacentral:lncRNA from 1 species